ACAUCACAUCUUCCCAUCUCCUGGCUGACUUCCUCCCUUUACCCUAACUUCUCCUAGCCAGGCACACUCUGCACCACGGCCUCGCAAGCACACACUGAAGCUAUAGACCUGCAGCACCAAAUGAGACUGUCGGAAGAUCAAACCCGGACCUCAGGACAGGAACAGGGCUGUGGUUCCCGCUCUGACAGCCGUCUCCAUUUCCCUGGAGGGAGCAUCCGCUCCCACAUCCUCCCCAGACUUCCAAGGCACACAUAAAAAUUGGAUCCCUGCUUUCUCUUUACUUUUAUCUCUGCUGUGUGCUCUGGGGAGUUUUUUUACAAAACAAACGAACAUGAACUUCAAGGUAUGAGGAGUGUAAAUCACUGCAAACUCUCCAGGCCUCCAAAUGCUACAAACACUGCUUAGCCAAGGACCAAAGAAAAGCCCGCUCUUCUCAAUGUGCAUUCUCAAAGGGCACACCCAGCUCCUCUUCAUCCUCAUCUCCCAGAGACAACUUAAACAGUGACCAUAAGCAUCUCCUAAGAGCCAGACAAGAGACACCAGCUGCUUUCUUGAAGCUCUCCAUGAAUUGGGAGUGGGGUCAGGUGUCUGUCAUGUGAUUCAGUGCUCUCCAAUGAUCAUAUGCUCUGACAACUGGGAUCUUCUAGUUAGAAGUACUUCCCAAGGAAGCCGUGUCAGGGAAAUCUGUCUGCAACAUCUGCCACCAAGAUGCAAUUAUUGAAGCCUAAUUAAUCUGAUUCCCAUUUUUUAUUAAUCACCAACGAAUGUCACUGCUGAGCCAAGCCUGUGAUCAGCACGAGAUAAUGGGUGCUGUUAUGAAGCUGGAAUGAGGCCAAGCUAAAGAUAAGCUAUCAGGAGUUUCUAAUUAAGACUGAGCUAGCCUGCAGACCACCCCACAUUAUGUCUGUGAAACCCUGAGAUGCCGAAGACCCUGGCUUGUGGGAUCACUGAUUUGUUCCUAUUACAUCAUUUCACAAAAGAUUAGAGACUAUCACUACUCCUGCAUUCCCCACCAAGACCUGAGCUAGGCACUCCAUGCACAUCUCAUUUAAUCCCUCCAACCAUCCUCUUCCCAACAUUCAGAAUCACGAAGUGAAGACUUGAAAUCUGGUCUCCUUGAUUCUAAAAGUCCAUGUUUUUCUACAUGGUGAAGGAUGGAUGGUCCACUGCAAUGGGUAGCCAGCUGCAGUCACUACCCGAGUCUGUAAGAGUACCCUCCCGCUGCCACUAUGCAAAAGCAACAGAGUAAAGAGAGAAAAGUACAGGCUCCUGAGUUAUGCACAGCCCUGGGAAUUUCACAUUCAAGCAGCAGUCUAACAGAAAAAAAAUUUUUCUUUGUUUUCUAACCUUAAAAAAUAAUGAGCACAAAGGAGCUUGAGAAGUCUAUGGGCACAGACAAACAUUUCCAAGCGAAUCAAUAUGCAAAUGGCCAUCUCUGCCUGGGCUCCCUUGGCCUUCAGCUCUGCAGCAGGGCAGAGCGGUAUGAGAGGCAUUUUUCAAGAAGCGGUUUAGGAUUACAAGGUGGAAUUAUUAUUUAUCCAUUCCAAAUAUGAGGCUUGCUAAUUAGGUCAUAAUGGUUCUCAUUUAUCAUGGCACUGAGAGCAUGUGUUCUAUUGAUCUACGGGGUUGUCCGUGAGCACCAGGCUCUUCCUAACACCAACUAUUCUCAUGAACCCUCCUGGAAACUCACUUGAGGGAUGCAGGCCUGCUGAGAGGAAGGAGGUGCUACUGUCACCUGUCCAGCGGGGUUGCAAAGCCUGGGGCUUUGUCCUCAGAGUCUUCUCCAAGUUGUCUGGGACCUGCUAGUUCGGGCGGCAAAGUUGGAGCUCUCGUGGUUAUGUCGUUAGCAGCUGAGAAGAGAAAAUCUCAACUAGUAGGUACAGGAAUUAAGCCCUUAAUUUCAGAAAGAACCCAGGAGCUAAAGGACAAAGGAGUUCUGGCUAAAGCACCAGGAAGUCAAGACCCUUAUUCACACUCACCAACAGCAAGAGGACGGUCUCUUUUAUAGUUUCCGCUACCUAGUCAGGUGCAGGUCAUGGCCAUUGAUAAAUAAGGCUGAGUGGCUACAGUCUGCUCCAUGGCCCUUCUUAAGAUUUAGGAUAAGCUCUGGUCCUGUUGCUUGCUGCUUGCAAACCUUUGGGUAGCCAACAUUACACCCCUCUACCCCAAGGGCCUAAUUGUGAAGCAGAAAAAGAAAUCGCCAGGAAGUCUCCAAAAGACAGAACUUGUCAAACACUUGGUGCAUAGCGGACACUCAAAGUUUUGUGAUUCAAUUUCCUCUUCAUCCUCAGAGACAGAUCAGCUUGCUCCCCACAAGACACCACUGCAGGUGUAAGUCAGUGCAAAGUGUAGGACAGGGUGUGAGGGAUGCCCUAAGGUACAGAGGCUAGAAGGGAGUUAUGCAGCAGAGUAUCCAAUCCUGAAGGAUGAUACAAGCAACUCCCCGGAGCCAGACUGCUGAUAACACUAAGCCAUCAAAUUAACUCAAGGGACGGCCUCUGUGUCAAGUACUGUUGGGAAAGCCACACUACUGUCCUCACUGGGGAUAUCAAAUGCACCCAAGGCUCACAACAGUGCUCCAGCCGAGAAACACAAUUCACACUGGCUUGCCAGUCUUUCCCAUAUGUCUCUGUAGCAGUGUGGAUGUAACUGCCCCCAUAAGCUCAUAGGGAGUAGCACUAUUAGGAGU